rnacentral:rRNA from 1 species
UACAGAGGGUGCGAGCGUUGUUCGGAAUUAUUGGGCGUAAAGCGCUUGUAGGCGGCGCAGCAAGUCGCGUGUGAAAGCCUUCGGCUCAACCGAGGAAGUGCGCGCGAAACUGCUGUGCUUGAGUGCCGGAGAGGGUGGCGGAAUUCCCGGUGUAGAGGUGAAAUUCGUAGAUAUCGGGAGGAACACCAGAGGCGAAGGCGGCCACCUGGAAGGUAACUGACGCUGAGAAGCGAAAGCGU